UCCAGUGUAGCCAAGAGAAAAGGGCUAUCAAAAGGGUUGGUUGGUACCUAUGAUUAGUAUACUCAAUUGUAGUGGUUAGUGAUUUUUGUCCUGAUGUUUGUUAGCAAAAUGUUAAUUUGCACAAAUUCAAGUUUAUUCUUAGCUGCUAUUUGGCCCUUGGAUAAAAGUCAGAAUCACGUGUUCUCCUGUGACUGAGGUUUUGCUAUGAAAAGCCUUAAAUACGGUACUUAAGAAAACAGCCUGGGAGUGCCAUCAAGAUCUAAAAGCAAGUUCUGUUGUUAGUUUGUCCGUUGCUUCACUAUCUCAUGCAAGCACAGUUUAUUCACUGUGGUGGGCUGGGUAGGAUGACCCACAGGAAAUAAUGGUGACUACACAGAGUCGAAGAUGAUUGCCCAGUUACUCUUCAGAUCAGAUCAGACUCCUCAGUGGAAAUGGUGUUAAAGAACGAUGGCCCGGAGGAGCUCGCACCUCCCACUUCGUGCAGCUCUAGAGGGAUGCAAAGCAUUAAAGACUAUGUUGAUACACCCAAAGGAACAACUGGAUGGUUUGGCCCAAAUCCUCUCCAGAAAGACAACAUCAUCCAAGUAGACCAGACAGACAACCUGAAGAUCUUCUUGAAGGGGGAGCCCCAAAUACUGGGGGUGACUCAGAUCCUGAUUGGUCUGAUGAAAGUGUGCCUGUUUGUUAUAGGUCUGUGUUUUUAUUCUUCUGACUUUCCCUACUGGUGUUAUCCUCUUACCAUGGUCUCAGGAUAUCCUGUAUGGGGAUCCUUAUUUGUGAGUAUGUUGGAAUAUCUCAACUUCCUCAGCGGUAGAGUUCACAAACAUUCCUUCCAGCCUUCCCUCUUACAAACCAAUGAUGUGACCUGGGAUUUUACUUCUUAGAGCAAAGUAUGUGGCCUAAAGACUGGGGUUCUGAUGACCUCUAGGGUACGUGGAAGGACAGGUGUAGGCUCACCAGGCUGAGUGGUUUCUUCCAUUUUCAGUUCUUCUUAUCUGGAGCUCUGUCUAUUGCAGCUGGAAGAAAAAUGACAUUGAACCUGGUAAGUAUGUUCCUGGGCCCAGAAGCAACAAGUAAAAUCAGAAGUGCUGUAUCUCAAGGCAAAAGAAAUGAUCUCUGAUUCUCUGAAUCAUCUGGGCUCUAUGGGGGUCAUGGCAAAUUCUUCCAUAAGGAAACUGAGGUUUGACUUACCUUUUGUUUUUGUUUUUGUUUUUUGCCCCUAUUGUCUGAAACUCCAUCCUUGGGAUUAAUCUGUGAAUAUAGAAUCCAAUGCUUCAGCGGUAUUCUCUUUUCUUUCUCAGACUUAGGAAAAUUAUUUGAGAAUGUGUCUUCAACCCCUUCCAAAUGAAUGAAAGUUUUUGUGUUCUCCGAAGGGAGGAAGGAGAAGAAACAGAGGGUUGUAGGGGACACUGAUCAUUCUCUUCCAGAUCAAAGGCAGCCUGGGAGUGAACUUGCUCAGUGCUGUUGCAGGAGUGAUAGGGAUAAUCGUGUUAAUAAUAGAACUGACUGUUCUAUUUGCACCGGAGAAAAAGUGUCUUAUUCUUAGGACGUUUGAGAUUGUGAUAUUAGUCCUCUCCCUGCUGGAAGUCAGCAUCGCUAUCUCUCUCUCUGUAUUUGGGUGCAAGGUGACCUGCUUUGUCACUCAGGUGGUGAUUAUCCAGUCAACCAAUGACAAGGUGUCUUCAGCAAUAGCCCCCCAUGAACAUAUUUAUGAGGAGCUGGAGUUCGAAUAGAAUAAUUCUUGCUUUUGAAAAUAUUAUUCAUCGUGUAUCUCUUUGCCUGCCAGGAAGUGUUCUCAUCUGUGCACAGGAGCAUAGUUAUUACACAACCAAAUAAAGUGCAUU